GGAGGGGGGUCGCCUCGGCUGCUGUUCCCUCUCUCCUCCUUCUCUUCCGCCGCCAAUCUCUCCCUUUCUCUGGGGCGGGGCAGGGAGGAGGCCCCGUUUAGGCUUAGGCCUUGCUGCUGCUGCUCCGGAGGCUGCGUAAGCGCCGCUCUCGCUCCCCUCUCGGAACAAAAUGCCGACCGGAAGUGCAGCCGGAGGAAGGACUCCCUCCACCGGCCACAAGGCACAAGCACAGCCGCCCUGCUCCUGGCUGGGAUGGAGGGCUCCGGGCUCCCUCUCUGGGUUGGUUGGAGGGGGGAGGUUGCUCUCCUUCACUCCGGAGAGGAGCUUGCAAAAGGGCAAACGAAGGGGUCCUCCUGGAGAAGCCCAAGGCUAGAAGGGAAGGGGACUCAACGCCCUGCUUGCCUCCUGCCUGCCUCCUUCUCCCCAUCGGAGUGUAUGGAGGUGAGAGCCGAGAGGAGUGGAGGAAGAGGAUAGAGGUGGGAAAGACAUUCACUGGAGAUGGGGAGAGGAUGCCGCGGAUGGGCAAAAGGACAAACAAAUGGAGCGGCCCCAAAUCUUAGAAGACAAGGUGACUAAACUCCCUGCUUGCCUCCCUGCCUUCUUUUUGCCUCCUUCUCCCCAUCGCUCUGUUUGGAGCUGAGAAGAGUGGAGGAAGAUGACUAAACUGCCUUCUGCCUUCUUUUUGCCUCCUUCCGUCCAUCGCUGUGUAUGGAGGCGAGAGCUGGGAAGGGGGAAGGAAGAUAUAGGUAAGGAUUACAUUCAUUUGCGAUGGGGAGAGGAUGGGCAAAAGAACAAACAAAUGCGUCUUCCCUGAGCCACCUAAAAGCCUGGAAGACAAGGUGACUAAAUUCCCUACUUGCAUCCCUGCCUGCCUUCUUAUUGCCUCCUUCCCAUUGCUCUGUAUGGAUAUGAGAGCUGAGAAGCGUGAAGGAAGAGGAUAUAUGGGUCCUGGAAGCAACCCAAGCCUAGAAGACAAGGGGACUAUCUGCCUCCCUGCCUUCUUUUUGUCUCCUUCUCCCCAUCCCUCUCUACGGAGGUGAGAGUUGAGAAGAGUAAAGGAAGAGGAUAGGUAGAAAAUAUACCCAUUUGAGGAUGCCGUGGACAGCCAGGAAGGCAAACAAAUGGGUCCUGGAGCAGACCAAGACUGAAAGCCAAGAUGAUUAAACAUUCUGCCUCCAUCCCUUCUUUUUGCUUCCUUCUCUCCAUCACUAUGUAUAGAAGUGAGAGCUGAAAACUGAAGAAAGGGGAUAAGAAGAAAAUUUGUUUCAGAUAGAGGAGAGUUCUGAGGAUAUACUGUGGACGGCCUAGAAGACAAACAAAUAGGUCCCAGAGCAACCCAAGCCUGGAAGCCAAGAUGACUGAACUGCUUGCAUCCCUCCCUUCUUUUUACCUCCCUUCUCUCCAUCACUAUGUACAGAUGUGUGACCCAUGCUGGAGAAGAGUGCUGAGGAUGGGUCCUGGAACAAACCGAGCCUAAACUCCCCCUGUAAGCCAAGAUGACCAAACUGAGGUUGUGGUGCUUUAGACACACUAUGAAAAAGAAAGACUCAUUGGAAAAGGCAAUGAUGCUGGGGAAGAUGGAGGGUAGAAGAAGGGGGGCAAGACAGCACACCAGAUGGAUGGACUCUAUUAAGGAGGCAAUGGGCAUGAAUCUACAAGGCUUAAGCAGAGAGGGUGAGAACAGGGUGUCUUGGAGGUGUCUAAUCCACAGGGUCAUUGUGAGUCAGGAUCGACUGGAAGCAGGGUGGCCAGGCAUCCUCCUUUUCCAGGAGACAUCCUACAUUUUGGCCUUCUCUCUGGGGAGAAUUCCAAAAGGUCCUCCAUUUUGACCAUGACUAAGAAGCAUUCAUUUCCAAUUAUUUGAGUGUUUUGGGCUUUUAUUUUGCAGGGUCCAACAUUUUUCUUGUAUGAACUACAUUUGGCAGCGCCUUGUCCUCCUUUGUGGUGAGGACAUCUUGUCACCCUGACUCAAAGGCAGUUCACAACAACAACUGCCUAGAAAGCCAAGCUUGGAAAGGUGCUGGAGUGGGGUGUUCUCAGCUUCCUUGUGGGAGCUACAAGUGGGUGGUCCGUUUUGUGUGUUUCUUGUUUCAUCUUUUUUUCUUCUUCUUCUUUGUCCCCCCCCCCUCGCGCGCUCUCUGUUGUGUACAGGAGAAGCUGGGGUUUGCAGAAACAGCCUGUGAGGGUGAAGCAUGCCUUCCAAUUGUCAAAAUGAAGACCAGGAGCCAAAUGAUUCUGUUAAAAAUUGUGUUGUUUCUUCUUUAAAAGAAUAUUUUUAAAUAUUAUUGUCAAUGCCACAUCAGAAAAUUGCAGAUAGAGGGGAAAAAACUUCCAAGGAAAGGAGUAAGAAUAUUAUUUAGAAAAAAUAUGUGUCUCGUUCUUUCAUUUUCAGAAGGACCAUUGAAUAACUGUGUCUUCUUGCACCUGUUUGUUUUUAAUUAUUAAAUACCUCUUUUGUUUUAUGCCUGUUUUUAUAAGAUGAUGUCCUAAUCAGGAUACUGUAGGAUUUAAAAACCCCUGUUUGAUGAAAAAGUUCACUACUCCCCAGAUGGGUAUAUGUCCCCCUUCCCCCAAAAAGAUGUUUUGUAAGGUAAUAUGAAAGAGGGGAAUCCAUGAUGUGAUGCGAAGAUUUCUUUACUAGAAAACUGAUAUGGUUGUUGACAGAUUUUCUGCAGAUAGCCCAAUUAUGGGUAGAGUUCCAGUCUUCUGGAGAAAAGGACAAUGAUUACUUUGAAAGCUCAUCCAUUUUUUCCUUCUGGUAAAUUGUGCACAAUAGCACAGAACAGAAAGUUGUAAUUCAGUCAGUUCUUCAUAAAGAUUAGAGCUCAUCCAUGGGCCAACUGCUUAGUAAGAACUGCAAGCCAGAAGUUGGGCACUAUGGCUUUGAACUGAAAAAGCCCAUCCACACAGAUUAUUCUGUGCAAAUUAGCCAUGUACAGGUAAGAAGGGUUUAUUUUGUUAUGUGCCAUCAGGUGCAAUUGGAGUUAUAACAAUCCUAUGAAUAAGAGACCUCCCAGAGAUCUAGCUGGUAGUAUUCUUACUCAGGUCUUUUAAGCUCAGGACCCUGGUUUCCUGCAUACUGUAGAUGACGCAUAAUAUAAAUGUAUAAUUUGUUUUUUAUUUAAUAUAUAAUACAUAUGCAUAAUACUUUAUAUGGAUAUUAUUUUAAUUAGACUACUAGCAAAAUUCUGUGCUCUGGGUUUUUGGAUACAUAGAAGCAUAGAUAUACGGUAGUUACUUUAUAGUUUACAUGUACAUUAGAUGUACAUUAGAUUGAGGAAUCCAGUUCAUUUAGAGGCAGUUGUGACAAAAUGUGUAAUCCAUAGAUGAUUAUCUGAGAAUAAGUCCCACUGGACACAGUAAAAUUUGUUUUGAUAGGUAGGAUUGGGCAGAACAUACCAAAGUGAUAAGAACUUAGUUGUAAAUAAAUUGUUGGGCUGAAAUCAAAAUCUUUUGGUUGCUUUCCCACUACUAAUAGUGGGAUGAUGUAUAAAUAAACAUGCAGGCUAGUCUAAUUUUUUAAAAAUGUGUUAUUUUUCAGGUGUUACUGCAGCCCACUGGUCUUGGUGUCAUAAAAUGUUUCACUAUAAAUGUUUAAAAAUUAUGGUAUGGUGAAAAAAAUGUAUUGGAAAAUCCUUGUGACAUAUAAAAUUGUUAUGGUCCAAAUUCUAUAUGUAGUAUGGCCUGAAAAAAAGUCGAGCUAAUAAAACUAUAAUUACUGA